AUGUGGUGCAUAGUAAUACUAAUAUGGAAUGUAGUGGGAGAGGAAUUCUAAAAUAAAUUAGUUUUAACAGAAAAAUUAUCAAUAAGUAAAUGGCAUACAUUUAUUUUAACUAACAACAAUAAUUGUUUGCUUUGUAUUUGAUCCCCAGGAAAUGGACCAGAGCUCUUCUGACCCUACAGUGAUCCUUGAACUAAGUUCCGUCCCUGAAAAGGACAUAAGUGUUCCUGAACUCAAGAGAGCAGAAAGUGUAUUUGUUCAUAAAAAAUGGCGAGAAAGAAGUGGAGCACCGAGGAAGUCCAGGCUGUGGAGAGCAAUCUCAUGGACAACAUCAACUCUGGCAGGGUUCCUGGUAAAGCCCAGUGUGAAGCAUCUAUCAAGGGAUCCUCAGAGGUGCUUAGGGGAAGGAGCUGGCAGGCAGUUAAGUUCUAUAUGAAGAACCGCAUUGACACUUUAAAGCGUCUAGAAAAUAACUAAUGGAAAUCUAAAUUGUAAUCACUGAACAUAAUUCUUUUUUGCCAUCUAAGUACUUCUACAAUCCCACAACUAGGUACAGCGCUUACUUGAAUUCAGCUCAUAUCUGAGCAUGCAAAGACAUUUUAUUAAGAUUGUUAAAGCUCUUUUGUUUUCAAAUUUAAUAUGUCAACAUGCUCUGACUAUUAUUUCAUUGAGUGAUGUCAUUUACAUUUUUAUCCUAAAGAACAUUGUGGUAGUCGGUCAUGGGUGGUUGGAGAAAUGGAGGUAGAGAGAGACACAGGUUGUAGAGAGAGUGAAAGGUUUGUAGAGAGAGACAGGUUUGCAGGGAGAGAGAGACAGGUAUGUAGGAAAUGAGAGAGACAGGUAUGUAGGUAGAGAGAGACAGGUAUGUAGAGAGAGACAGGUAUGUAGAAAGGAGAGAGACAGGUAUGUAGAUUAGAGAGUGAGACAGGUAUGUAUAUUAGAGAGAGAGACUAUGUAGGGAGAGAUAGAUGGGUGAGUAGAAAGAGAAAGUGUUCCUGAACAUUUUUUAAAAUAAGAAACAGAGGUAAAGAGAGAGAAACACGUACAGGGAGAGAGACAGGUUUGUAGAGAGAAAUCGAGGUCAGCAGAGACAGACAGGUUUGUAGGAAGUAAGAGAAUAAGGUGAAGGAGAAGGAAUGAUCAUAGCAAAGAGCCAGGACAAAUUAAUUUGUAUAUGGAUGAGUUGUGAUAAUAAAGUUAAUCUGCAAUGUAAA